AUUGAACGCUGGCGGCAGGCUUAACACAUGCAAGUCGAGCGGGGUGAUGGUGCUUGCACUAUCACUUAGCGGCGGACGGGUGAGUAAUGCUUAGGAAUCUGCCUAUUAGUGGGGGACAACAUCUCGAAAGGGAUGCUAAUACCGCAUACGUCCUACGGGAGAAAGCAGGGGAUCACUUGUGACCUUGCGCUAAUAGAUGAGCCUAAGUCGGAUUAGCUAGUUGGUGGGGUAAAGGCCUACCAAGGCGACGAUCUGUAGUGGGUCUGAGAGGAUGAUCCGCCACACUGGGACUGAGACACGGCCCAGACUCCUACGGGAGGCAGCAGUGGGGAAUAUUGGACAAUGGGGGGAACCCUGAUCUAGCCAUGCCGCGUGUGUGAAGAAGGCCUUAUGGUUGUAAAGCACUUUAAGCGAGGAGGAGGCUUACCUAGUUAAUACCUGGGAUAAGUGGACGUUACUCGCAGAAUAAGCACCGGCUAACUCUGUGCCAGCCGCCGCGGUAA
rnacentral:rRNA from 1 species